GACGAACGCUGGCGGCGUGCCUAACACAUGCAAGUCGAGCGGGGGGAGUACUUCGGUACAAACCUAGCGGCGGACGGGUGAGUAACACGUGGGUAACCUGCCUCAAAGUGGGGGAUAGCCUUCCGAAAGGAAGAUUAAUACCGCAUAACCCAUAGCUUCCGCAUGGAAGCAAUGGUAAAGAUUUAUCGCUUUGAGAUGGACCCGCGGCGCAUUAGCUAGUUGGUGAGGUAACGGCUCACCAAGGCCACGAUGCGUAGCCGACCUGAGAGGGUGAUCGGCCACAUUGGAACUGAGACACGGUCCAGACUCCUACGGGAGGCAGCAGUGGGGAAUAUUGCACAAUGGGCGAAAGCCGGAUGCAGCAACGCCGCGUGAGUGAUGAAGGCCUUCGGGUUGUAAAGCUCUGUCUUUUGGGACGAUAAUGACGGUACCAAAGGAGGAAGCCACGGCUAACUACGUGCCAGCCGCCGCUGUAAGAC
rnacentral:rRNA from 1 species